AUUGAACGCUGGCGGCGUGCUUAAAACAUUCAAGUCGCGCGGAGCGGCGAACGGGUGAGUAACGCGUGAGUAACUGCCCCCCUCUCUGGGAUAACCGUUGGAAACGGAUGCUAAUACCGGAUAGUGGGGGCUGAAUCGCGUCCUAUCAGCUUGUUGGCUGGGUCGUGGCCUACCAAGGGGUCGACGGGUAGCGGGCCUGAGAGGGCGUCCGGCCACAUGGGGCUGAGAUAGGGCACGAACGCAUACGGGAGGCAGCAGAGGGGAAUAGUGCACAAGGGGGGAAACCCUGAUGGAGCAACGCCGCGUGCGGGAUGGCGGCCUUCGGGUUGUAAACCGCUGUCAGCCAUGACGCGGGAGUGGCAGAAGAGGCAGCGGCUAACUACGUGCCAGCAGCCGCGGUAAUAC
rnacentral:rRNA from 1 species